rnacentral:tmRNA from 1 species
GGGGACGUCCUGGUUUCGACGGGUAGUCUACGGUCGGGGUGGCAUGCCGGGGAUGAUUCGUUGGCCCCGUUAACAAUCGAGUCAAACAAACAACAGCAAACUCUUCUGAGCUUGCCCUCGCGGCCUAAGCCCCGCGACAUCACCUGAGGAAUGUCUGGUACCUCAGCUGAUGCCACUACCAGGCUGGCUGGAUGACCGCGCGACCGGGUCGAAAGCGAGAUCAAACAGGACGCUGGAUGAACGGGAUUUCGCAGGUUGAAGCCCCUCAUCGAGACCAAAUAGCCUGAUAAGCAUGUAGAGGCUUCGGUCUAUGGCCAUUCGGACAGGGGUUCAAUUCCCCUCGUCUCCAC